GUCACGGUAGCUCAGUCGGUAGAGCGCUCGUUCCGUGAUCGAAAGGUCGUGGGUUCGAGCCUCGGCCGUGACA